GAAUUAUCCUGUGAUGCUGUGAAAUAAGGGUCAGAGCUGAAGGAGAAAAAUGGGGCUUUCUAUUAAAAACACAGACUUGACAGGGGUUUUUUUGCCCGGAGUGUUUCCUAGUGCCUUGAUAAUGACUUCCUAUCCUUCCCAUAAUCAUCACUGUGGGCACUCCAGUUUACCUGAAGAGCUCUGAUCCUCGGGGGAGACAGGAGGGGUGAAGGAGAAAAUCCGUGGUGUUUAUUUGAUGUGGAAGUGCUUACAUCCUAUUACAACAGACAGAAGAUCUGAAUGCAUCGACCCAGUGUCCCCAGACAAGCAUUCCAAACCAGGCACCCAUCCAGCUGCCAGGGGUAGAAGCACAGCCGCUGGACCACCAGCCUGAGAGCCUGCAAGAUGCAGAAGGAGGAGGCAGAGUAGAGGAGAAGAUUGUUUACCUCUGAGGCUCUUUUUCUAAUCUUGGUAGCACUUUGGAAAUAUAACUGUGUUUGCUUUUCUGAAUGUCCAUAGUUGCUCUGUAUGACCAAAUGGCUUUAAGGAUAGUAUUUAAUAUUCAGUGCAAGAUUUUCCCCAUGAUAAAUAUAAUAGUUAAGUUAUUCUGAAGCCUUUGCUUCAUAAUCUUUAAUUUAUGACAUGAUUUCAAAUGCUUUGUGAGAAGCAAUGGGUAGCAGAGGAGACUUAAUUUAGAACUUUAAAGUUGCCACCAAGAACUGUGAAAGCUAGUGUUGAUUUUCUCUUGAGUCCUCUUUUUAAAAGGGCAAGCUAAGAGAGAUGGGCCUGUUAUUUGAUAUUUCAGAGUAUGGAUCGUUAACCUUCUAAAAGUUGUGAUACAACAUGAGCAUGUAGCAAUGUAAGAAUGAUGGCUGUAGUCUUUGCUGAAAUGUGCUAUGAACCCUUAACUAUCGGGUUGCUUUCCGUAUCCCCUGGCUCAGGAACUGCUUGGAAGAGGAUGUUUUUUUUGGUCUCAACUUAAUUGCAUAAUUGUAAGUGUUUGUUUGUGUCCCAAAGCUUAUCAUCAUUUUGGUACUACUGCCAGUUUCUGUGCAGAGAUGGUGUAAAUCAGUUUGUUAUUGCAUUAUAACUGUACCUCAUUUCAGUAAGUGCCCUUACACAUUAAAAUUUACCAGAUGAAGCCAUCUCACUGAUCAAAAGAAAAGAAAGGGGAAAAAUAGUAGGCUUUUAGUUAACUCUUCUGCUUUCCCAUGUAGAAGCCAGCUAGAUUCCUGCUUUUAGGUUCAUGGGAUCAUCAGUGUGUUAGGCAGUAAGAAGCCAGGACCUGUUUCAUGCCUUUUUGUCUUUCAGAAAUAUUUGUACACUUCUGUCGACUUGAAUAAAUAUUCUAUGCAUUUCUGCAAAACUGUAACUUC
rnacentral:lncRNA from 1 species